CGGUAGCCCAAAGAGCUUGCUCUCCGGUGACAAGGGGCGGACGGGUGAUUAAUGUCUGGGAAACUGCCUGAUGGAGGGGGAUACCUACUGGAAACGGUAGCUAAUACCGCAUAAUGUCCCAAGACCAAAGAGGGGGACCUUCGGGCCUCUUGCCAUCAGAUGUGCCCAGAUGGGAUUACCUAGUAGGUGGGGUAACGGCUCACCUAGGCGACGAUCCCUAGCUGGUCUGAGAGGAUGACCAGCCACACUGGAACUGAGACACGGUCCAAACUCCUACGGGAGGCAGCAGUGGGGAAUAUUGCACAAUGGGCGCAAGCCUGAUGCACCCAUGCCGCGUGUAUGAAGAAGGCCUUCGGGUUGUAAAGUACUUUCAGCGGGGAGGAAGGUGUUGUGGUUAAUAACCACAGCAAUUGACGUUACCCGCAGAAAAAGCACCGGCUAACUCCGUGCCAGCAACCGCGGUAAUACGGAGGGUGCAAGCGUUAAUCGGAAUUACUGGGCGUAAAGCGCACGCAGGCGGUCUGUCAAGUCGGAUGUGAAAUCCCCGGGCUCAACCUGGAAACUGC
rnacentral:rRNA from 1 species